GCUUCCAUCAUGCCAGCCUGUAAAUUCCAGGUCAUGAUCCAGAAAUCGUAGGAGGCUCCUCCCACUCUGCACGCUCCUUCGCCUUUAUACAUCCUUGAGUUGUUGCCAUUAAAGGGAAACGUCCUAACCUGUAAAAUAUACUGCUCUCUGCACUUGAGGGAUGUUUGUGUGACCAACAUUCAGGCCCUGUUCUCUGAUAAGUCUGACAGAUGUUAUGGUCUGAAGGUGUUUUCUGAGCGUGAUUGAAGGCUGAUGUAUUGUGUGUAGCCUGAAAUCUGUGUCUCACUAACUCUGGUGUCUCAUGAUGGUUAUACAAGUGCUUUGGUGCCCCCUGGUGGUACAGAGGAACCUGCACAGUGUCCGUUUGAUUUGAAACACUAUUUAAAUUGUUGUUCAAUAAAAUCUAAGAAACACUGAUAA